UGUCAAAAUUAAAGCUCACAGCUUGUUUGCAAUUCAUGAUGCUUUAAAAAUGUAAUAGUGUAUUGAAUUCUAAUAGUAAAAGAAAUUCACUUUGAUUUUUCUGCGGAGGAAGUCAGUGGUGAUACACUGAAGAAGAAAGUGUACCAUGGAGUCAAAGAAUUAGUGAUCAGUAUAGCAAAUGUUUUGUUCUUUUUGUAUUUAACACAGUUUGAAGAGUGGGAUAUGUUUGACAUUCUGCUUUCAGACAGCUAUCAAAAGUCUGAAUUCUCAGAAUACAAAGCAGUCAACUGUGUUUGGGCAUGGAUCUCUCUGACAUUUAUAAAGGGGAUCUAGAUGAAAGCCAUAAAGGAGAUACUGCCCAAUCAUAAAACCGACUUCCACUGCAGACCGUGUGAAAAUAUGUAUCACACUCUUAGUCUGUAUAAGGCAUGACCCAUAUACACCAAGGAAGGGGAAGACACAAAUAUAACUUGCAAGACCCAGUAUCUUAUGAGAGAGAUGGGAAAGGCCUCAUCAUAGCACACAUUUCUGCAACCAGGUUGCUCGGUAUUGCAUAUAAAUUCUGAUUGCUCAUCGUUCCAAACAUCCUCGGUUGCCACUCCAAGGACAAGCAUUCGAAAUAUGAAGAGGAUCGUUAGCCAAAUCUUUCCAAUAAUAGUAGAAUGGAUGUGGACCUCCUCUAAAAUGCCUCCAAGGAAAUUCCAGUCUCCCAUGGUUAUUCUGCCAUCUUAACACUAAAAUGUAUGAGAGAAAAAAAGUAUAAAACAUUAUAAAAUCUGCAUUCCUUCCUUAAUGCAUUACAAAAAAAAAGUAACACUGGGCAAAACUAUUGUAGCUUACACGGUAACCAUAGCAACAUGAACAACUGCUCACUGAUAAUCUGGGUAUUAUUUUCUCUCAUCUACAAGAUGGAGAACUGCAUCAUCUGCCCGUGUCUACUUUAUCUUUAAAAGAUAUCCUGAUAAGCAUAUCCCUGUGAGGUAUUAAGCACCCUCAGACUGCAUCAGAUCAGUGGAAAAUAAGGUACCUCGACUUGUAGCAGGAUUUUAAGAGCAUUAGUGAUCCAUUUGAACCAUCAUAUGAUAAAAAUGUAAGAGCA